GGGCCUGUAGCUCAAUUGGUCAGAGCCGGCGGCUCAUAACCGCUUGGUUGGGGUUCGAGUCCCUCCGGGCCCACCA
rnacentral:tRNA from 1 species